UUUUGUGUGAUUGUUGUUUGUGUCUGAAAAUCCGGGUAAUGAAGGAGCAAAUCCGGACAAAUGCGAUCACGUUGUAACCGUUGUUAAGAGGAACCUGAGCCUCAAGUCGCAUCUUAUCAGCAGUGGUAUCUGUGGGGGAGUUCCAAAUCAGCGUGGGCAAAAACAUUCUGGAGUCAGAAUCGGCUGGCUGGCUGUUUUGGUGUUGCUGUCGCUACCAGGUUUCACCGCGGCUCAGCUGGUAACCUCAAAUGUUCUGUAAAUCCUGCCUCAACAGUCAACCGUCGCCAUCUGGACGUAUUAUAUUCAAUCCGUUUCAUUUGAAACCGGCUAUAGUCGCGUUCCGGCGAACGGCCAACGUGUACGUGGCUGAUAACUCUGCUGCUCGAGGCUGUGGUCUAGGGAAAAGCUGGAGUUAUUGAUAACGCACAGCGCUGAAGCUUCCAAAACCGCAACGAAUCAUCUGGAUUAAGAUCAGACGACUAGGUCGUGUCGAUCUACUGCUGGACGCCGUAACUUGGUCUGCCAUUUAGUUGCUAUUGUCAGGUCAUCCGACGUUACAUGGCGGCUCCGAAGUGUUGCACUCUGUUAUGCUCGUUGCUUCUCGCCCACGACGCCGAUCCAUUUGUCGGGGACCUCAAAUACUUGCAGCAAUGACUACACUACUCAGUUGGUUUUAGUUCCACAGUUGCAGCUCUCGGUUUGAUGUUGACAAUAGUCCAAGGUUCUGAUUCAAGCAAAGCCGGUGGGAU